rnacentral:rRNA from 1 species
CGGCGAGUGAAGCGGUAAAAGCUCAAAUUUGAAAUCUGGCUCUUUCAGAGUCCGAGUUGUAAUUUGUAGAAGAUGCUUCGGGUGUGGUUCCGGUCUAAGUUCCUUGGAACAGGACGUCAUAGAGGGUGAGAAUCCCGUAUGUGACUGGAUACCUAUGCUCAUGUGAAGCUCUUUCGACGAGUCGAGUUGUUUGGGAAUGCAGCUCAAAAUGGGUGGUAUAUUUCAUCUAAAGCUAAAUAUUGGCCAGAGACCGAUAGCGCACAAGUAGAGUGAUCGAAAGAUGAAAAGCACUUUGGAAAGAGAGUUAAACAGUACGUGAAAUUGUUGAAAGGGAAGCGCUUGCAAUCAGACUUGCACUUGGUGUUCAUCAGGGUUUCGUGCCCUGUGUACUUCAUCAAGUUCAGGCCAGCAUCAGUUUGAGUGGUUAGAUAAAGGCUUGGAGAAUGUGGCCCUCUUCGGGGGGUGUUAUAGCUCCAGGUGCAAUGUAGCCUACUUGGACUGAGGACCGCGCUUCGGCUAGGAUGCUGGCGUAAUGGUUGUAAGCGACCCGUCUUGAAACACGGACCAAGGAGUGUACCUAAUAUGCGAGUGUUUGGGUGUUAAACCCAUACGCGUAAUGAAAGUGAACGCUGGUGAGAACCCUUAAGGGUGCAUCAUCGACCGAUCUUGAUGUCUUCGGAUGGAUUUGAGUAAGAGCAUAUUGGGUGCGACCCGAAAGAUGAUGAUCUAUACGUGAAUAGGGUGAAGCCAGAGGAAACUCUGGUGGAGGCUCGCAGCGGUUCUGACGUGCAAAUCGAUCGUCAAAUUUGCGUAUAGGGGCGAAAGACUAAUCGAAUCAUCUAGUAGCUGGUUCCUGC